GUGGGGAAUCUUCCGCAAUGGACGAAAGUCUGACGGAGCAACGCCGCGUGAGUGAUGAAGGUCUUCGGAUUGUAAAGCUCUGUUAAUCGGGACGAAAGAGCCUAGUGUGAAUAAUGCUAGGAAGUGACGGUACCGGAAUAGAAAGCCACGGCUAACUACGUGCCAGCAGCCGCGGUAAUACGUAGGUGGCAAGCGUUGUCCGGAAUUAUUGGGCGUAAAGCGCGCGCAGGCGGAUCUGCCAGUCUGUCUUAAAAGUUCGGGGCUUAACCCCGUGAUGGGAUGGAAACUACAGAUCUAGAGUAUCGGAGAGGAAAGUGGAAUUCCUAGUGUAGAGGUGAAAUGCGUAGAUAUUAGGAAGAACACCAGUGGCGAAGGCGACUUUCUGGACGAAAACUGACGCUGAGGCGCGAAAGCCAGGGGAGCGAACGGGAUUAGAAACCCGAGUAGUCC
rnacentral:rRNA from 1 species